AUGGCCACAUCACAUUGAAACACCAGUUCCCAUACAAUCACUGAUGUUAAGCAACAUCAAGCCUAGUCAGUACCUAGAUGGGUGACUGCUUGGGAAUACCAGGUGU